rnacentral:rRNA from 1 species
AGUGAACGCUGGCGGUAGGCUUAACACAUGCGAGUCGAACGGCAGCACAGUAAGAUCUUGCCCUUACGUGUGGCGCGUGGCGGACGGGUGAGGAAUACAUCGGAAUCUACUUUUUCGUGGGGCAUAACGUAGGGAAUCUUACGCUAUUACCGCACACGACCUAUGGGUGAAAGCAGGGGAUCUUCGGACCUUGCGCGAUUGACUGAGCCGAUGUCGGAUUAGCUAGUUGGCGGGGUAACGGCCCCCCAAGGCGACGAUCUGUAGCUGGUCUGAGAGGAUGAUCGCCCACACUGGAGCUGAGACACGGACCAGAGACCUACGGGAGGCAGCAGUGGGCAAUAGUAGGCAGUGGGCGCAAACAUGAUCCAACCAGAGCGCGUGGGUGAAGAAGGCCUUCGGGUUGUAAAGCCCUUUUGUGGGGAGAAAAAAGCAGCAGGUUAUUACGACGCUGUUCUGACGGUACCCAGAGAAGAAGCACCGGCUAACUUCGUG